rnacentral:rRNA from 1 species
UGGGGGAUAUUGCGCAAUGGGGGAAACCCUGACGCAGCAACGCCGCGUGAAGGAAGAAGGUCUUCGGAUUGUAAACUUUUGUCUUGUGGGACGAAGAAAUGACGGUACCACAGGAGGAAGCCACGGCUAACUACGUGCCAGCAGCCGCGGUAAUACGUAGGUGGCAAGCGUUGUCCGGAAUUACUGGGUGUAAAGGGUGCGUAGGCGGUUUUGUAAGUCAGGUGUGAAAACUAUGGGCUCAACCCAUAGCGUGCACUUGAAACUGCGGAACUUGAGUGAUGGAGAGGUAAGCGGAAUUCCUAGUGUAGCGGUGAAAUGCGUAGAUAUUAGGAGGAACACCAGUGGCGAAGGCGGCUUACUGGACGUUAACUGACGCUGAGGCACGAAAGCAUGGGGAGCAAACA